rnacentral:tRNA from 1 species
GGUAAAAUGGCUGAGUAAAGCAUUAGACUGUAAAUCUAAGGACAGAGGUAGGACCUCUUUUUGCCA